rnacentral:lncRNA from 1 species
CCCCCCCCCUCUCCCUUUUCCUGCAUCUUCGUUCCUCAUCUUCAACAGAUAAUCGAACCCUCCCCCUUGAGCUAAAAAACAACCUAGCUUCCUAUCCUCACUCUCAAGAAAAAAACGAAUCCCCCCUGCACCACAAAGUUGAGUUCUAAACAUUUUUUGGAAAUUUCAGAGUUUGAUGGAGCUGUAGAGUUUGUUUCGAGUUUGGGAGGUUUUAUUUGAACUCAAAUCACUAAUUUGGUUCUACUGUAUGUUGCUGAAUCUGUGUGCUUUUUGUUCGGCUGAGCUCCGUCUUUCAUCCCUAGCCUCUUUCUGAUUUUUCCAAGCUAAUUCCUGCACAGUCGGGUAUCCAUCUAAACCUGCACUUUGGAAUUUGUUUCUUAUAAUGAAAUCGCAUAUGCAUUCGCUAGUUUUUUAGUGUCUGAUUUGUCCUUUUGUUUGUCUUGUGGUUACUCUGUUCUGAUAAGACGAUUUAAUCGUUAGUUACUAGUUAGUUAAAGCUUUGCAACUUGUUUUUAAAUUUCCAUCAUCACGCAAAAAUUGCCUAAUGAACCUAAGUAAAUUUAUUAUUUGUACGAACCUAUCAUCCGACGUAAUUGUGAUUAAUCUCCCCUGAAAUCACCUUCGUGCUUCUGCGACCUACUGUUUCUCUUGGUAAAUUAGAUCUGGAAAUAUUUGACGAAGAAUUCAUAUGAUGAUGUGUAGAGAAACAGUCAGGUCUCGAGGGAUAAUUGUAAAGUUGGUAGAAGGAUUAAUUGUUUGCAAGGCAUGUGCUGCAAAGCUUAACGUAGUUAAUAAUUUUGCUAUCCCCAAAAGAGUUGUUGUUAAUUAUUCAUUUAGCAUGAUGAUUUCAUAUUUGAAGUCAAAAUCUUGUUAGCCACGAACUAGUAUCAAUGGUGAUUACAUAAUCGUGUUCAUUUGUGGUUAGGCAGCGUAAUAAGUUUUGUAGGAACGUUCUAAGUUUUUGGGUGCUAUUUCUCAUUUAUUUUGGACCUGAUAACUAGUCAGGUAACACCCACGCAAGGUUGAGUUAAAUAAACUUUAAGCCUGUUGUUAUGAUAGCCCAAGACGUUCUUGGUAAUGUAUGUCAUUUUGUUAGUCUAGUGUGCAACUUUUUGUUAACAAUCUCAAAAGGAUGAAACGUUAAGGUAUAACGAGUGAUUUGAUAACAAUGGUCAAAGUCACACCUUUUCCAGAAACAAAUUAAAGUUCCGUAAUUCUAGACUUGUUACAAUUAAUCUCAAAUUCAGUAAAAUCAAUAGUUUAAAUCCUUGUAAUUGUUUUAGGCGCGUUCAAUUAAUAAAUAAUCGCGACUAGGAGUAUGGUUCUUGUGGCAUAAUCAUGAUACAUACUUCCUAAAUUCGGGUGUGUAUUUCAUGUGACUCGAUCAUAACACCUUCGAACAAUAAUAAAAUAAACAUGUCGCGAAUCGCAAGUGCAUUUUAUGUAGCGUGGUAUGCGGUGUGUUCCAAAACGGCAAGUGUACGACAAUCGUAACUUGUUUCAAAAUAAUUUCAUAAAUAAUUAAAAACGGUUAAAAAGUUAAAAUGCACAUUAGGUUUAAAACAUGAGGUAAAUCAGAUAAUCGGCCAAUUAUUAAUAGUUUAAGCGAUCGUGCUAGAACUACGGAACCCGAAAAUGCCUAACACCUUCUUCCAGGUUAACAAAAUUCCUUAUCUAGAAUUUUCGGUUUCGCAAACUUUUCAAUAAAGUCAAUUUUCCACGAUUUGAGAUUUUAAAAUAAACCGGCGACUUGAGACACCAAAUAGAUUAUUCCAAGUGGCGACUCUAAAAAAAUUUAUUUCGAAUAAUGUCACUUUAAUUGGAAAAACUCUCUUAUACCCCCUCUCGGGUGGUAAAAAAGAGGCGUGACACAAGUAUGAAGGCAGAGAUUAGCCUCAUGCAGAUAUUGAGGCAAGGAUUAGCCUCAUGCAAGUGUGGAGGCAAGGAUUAGCCUCAUGCAAAUAUGGAGGCAAGGAUUAGCCUCAUGCAGAUAUGGAGGCAAGGAUUAGCCUCAUGCAAGUAUGGAGGCAAGUAUGGAGGCAGGGAUUAACCUCAUGCAAAUAUGGAGGCAGGGAUUAGCCUCAUCCAGGUACGGAGGCAGGGAUUAGCCUCAUCCAGGUACGGAGGCAAGAAUUAGCCUCAUGCAGAUAUGGAGGCAAGGAUUAGCCUCAUGCAAGUAUGGAGGCAGGGAUUAGCCUCAUGCGAGUAUGCAGGAUAGGACUUAGUCCCAUCCGAAGAACGAGUAGCAAAUAAGAAUAGUAUAUGUCUUAGUUGGAGAUAUAUUCGGUGUCUGAUGGCCUGAUUGAUAGUGAUUUUGUUACGUGCCUAUAUUUGUAGGCAACGCUAUUGCUAAGUCAGAUGUGCCUGCGUUCAACGAAAAAAUUGUAAGUUUAGUGAGGGGGAGGUUGGUUCGUGCUUCUAUCUGCUCGCCUUGCUUUGCUCCAUUCUGGAGGCCUUUUCGAGUCCCUAGGUAACACCUGACUAUUACGAAAAUAGAAUUUUCAAAAAUAUGCAAUUACUGAUAAAAAUAGAGUCAUUUUAGAAACAUAUUGAUAUAUCAAGUGAUUUUUAAAUGAACUAGUGACUGUAACUCAUUUCAAAGACAUUGCAGCUUUCUCAUGUUAGAAUUUUGAGGGUUCUCCUCAAAAGUCUGCUCCAGUUUGGCAGAUGAUCCUUCGACUGUUUGCGGGUGAUGAGCCUUGUUGAACCUUCUUUAGAAUUUUGAGAAUCCUUCUCAAAAUUCUGCCCCAGUUUCGUAACAGAUUUCUGACCGUCUGGUAUAUGUUGGCAUUGGCUGGACUUGCUCCGGAAUUUUGAGGGUCCUCAAAAUUCUGCCCCGGUUUCUAAUUUUGAGGGAAAUGGCAAUUUUUUUAUGAUAUGACCGGACCCAUAAGGUUUCUUACGUAUCCUCUCUUAAAUGGGAAUCAGGUCAAGCGUAGUUCAAUUACAUCAGAUGAGAAAAUGUAAAUAAUCUAAGCAUAAUAUCUCUUGACUGCGUCUGAAUUGAUUGGUUUUAGCCAGAUUUCUCCAUCCAUCUCUGCGAGUAUGAGUGCUCCUCCUAUUAGCCCCCUGUGAACCAUGUAAGGACCUUGCCAGUUGGGAGAGAAUUUCUCUUUGGCUUCAUAUUUGUGUAGGAAGAUCUUCUUCAACACUAGUUGUCCUGGUGCAAAUUGCCUCAGUUUGACCCUUUUGUUGAAAGCUGUAGACAUUCUAUUCUGGUAAAGGUGACCGUGACACACUGCAUUCAUUCUUCCAUCUAUGAGGGCCAAUUGUUCAUAGCAACUCCUUAUCUAUUUUGCAUCGCUCAGUUCAGCUUCCUGUAUGAUUCUUAAAGAAGGAAUCUCUACCUCGGCUGGGAUGACAACCUCGGUACCAUAAACCAGCAUGUAAGAGGUUGCCCCAGUUGAUAUGCGAACCGUGAUGCGGUAUCCCAACAGAGCAAAAGGAAGCUUCUCGCGCCAUUGUUUGUGUUACAUCUCACGUUUUCGUACGUUAAAAUUUCAUUUUCAUUUAACCGAUGUGGACUCGAGGAUGAGAUCAUCUUGAUGUUAACAUACUUACACUAUUUAUAACAAGCAAUAAAUAAGUGUUAUGAAGGAUAAAUGGGUACACGGAUUAAAGAAAACGGGUUUCGUUGAAAAUGGUCAAUUUGGAAUAAAAUACGGGUCGACCGAUAAUACCCGAUAAAUAUAAACUAUUAUCAUGCAAGGUACCAUAUUACUAUGGUAGUAUAAUAUAUAAAGUAUAUAUGAAGUAUUUUAAAAAUAAAUAGAAUUUUAAGUAAUUUGUGAAAUUUUUUAAAGUAUGCGGGUAAUUGAUUAAUUACCGGGUAAUAAAACAUUACCCAGUUAACUAAUAAGCGGGCAAAAUUUAACUAAUUAUGCCAGAAAUAACGUGGCACAAGGCCACUAAUCAGCAAGAAUGACUCACUAAACAUAAGUGUAGAUGUCAACCUAAUAAUUAAAGUAACCUAGCCAAAUAUGACUUAAGCUUAAAGUCUUAGUAAGACUUGUAAAGUCUUAUUCAUGUAGACAAUCUGUCCAUAGCUUCAAUUUGUGUCUUUGUCUUGAAAUCAAGAACUUGGAAACUAACGUCCCAAAGUAUACAAAACCAAGAAAACAUUUUAGAGAUCAUAAGCUAAAUUUCAUAGUACACAAAAAUGUUUUGAAGCAGAAAAGAUUUCGUUUCAAUCCAAGCAUAUGUUUCGUUCAUUUUUCGCUAAAGCAAAAAGCUUCAUUUCAUUCAAAUAAUUCAAGAAAUAGGCAUGUUAAGGCCCUCCCUUUAUUCUUUUGGCAUGGUCCAAAUUAUACUGAAAAAAUUUGCAAACACACAAUUUUCAUAAAUUACUCUAUUCAUAGAAAUAGUAGAGAUGUCUAUAUUCUUGAUUCUCCAUGAAAAAUAUUAUUAUCUUCUGUUCGUAAGACUCAGAAUAAUACACAAUUGAAAAAGUUUAUCCGGAAGGAAUAUUGAGAUUAUUACGUAUUUUUCAUGCAUUUCACUCAUUUAUACAUGUGCAUUGACCCAAGACCAGAUGACGUUAUAUAUACGUAUAUAUGAGAUAUGGAAAAAGGUUACGACAUUAUAUACGCACCACCACCUGAUUAACUGGUAUAUAUUGAUGAUGCUGCCUACAGUGGUCGAGAUGAUAUGAUGGGAUGCCCUCAGUGGCUUGAUCAUACUAUGUACACUCAUACCUAUGCAUGACACGACAUUUAUACGCACGUACAUGAUAUUAUAAACGUUUCUGAAUUUACAAAGUUAUUCAAAUUUAAAGAUGUGUUUCCUAUUCCAUGUUUCAUCUAUGUCUUUUACGUACAAAUUUUUAUACAUUACAUACUAAGUAUAUUUUUUGUACUGAUGCCCUAUUUCACGGGGCCUGCAUUUCAUGCCCGCAGGUGCAAGUAGGCAAGCUGACAGUCCC